GAGUUUGAUCUUGGCUCAGGACGAACGCUGGCGGCGUGCUUAACACAUGCAAGUCCGAGCGGUGACCCUCCUUCGGGAGGUGAUCAGCGGCGAACGGGUGAGUAACACGUGGGCAACCCUGCCCCUAACACUGGGAUAACCUCGGGAAACCGGGGCUAAUACCGGAUACGACCUCGAGCGGCAUCUCUUGAGGUGGAAAGCUCCGACGGUUAGGGAUGGGCCCGCGGCCUAUCCAGCUUGUUGGUGGGGUAAUGGCCUACCAAGGCGACGACCGGGUAG
rnacentral:rRNA from 1 species